UAUUAAAUUUAGUGCUUGGUUGGCGUAGAGUGGUACCAUGUAAAAUUUUAAUCCAUAGUACGACCCAUUCCGGCCCAGUAAUAAAUUAAAAU
rnacentral:pre_miRNA from 1 species